AUUGAACGCUGGCGGCAGGCCUAACACAUGCAAGUCGAACGAGUGGCGGACGGGUGAGUAAUCUCUGGGAAACUGCCUGAUGGAGGGGGAUAACUACUGGAAACGGUAGCUAAUACCGCAUACCAUCAGAUGUGCCCAGAUGGGAUGAGCUGGUUGGUGGGGUAAAGGCUCACCAAGGCGACGCUCCCUAGCUGGUCUGAGAGGAGGACCAGCCAAACGGGAACGGAGAAACGGUCCAGACUCCUACGGGAGGCAGCAGGGGGGAAUAUUGCACAAUGGGGGCAAGCCUGAUGCAGCCAUGCGGCGUGUAUGAAGAAGGCCUUCGGGUUGUAAAGUACUUUCAGCGGGGAGGCGUUACCCGCAGAAGAAGCACCGGCUAACUCCGUGCCAGCAGCCGCGGUAAUUC
rnacentral:rRNA from 1 species